rfam:Myotis brandtii contig249233, whole genome shotgun sequence.
GCCCGUUUGGCUCAGUGGGAUAGAGCAUCAGCCUGUGGACUGAAGGGUCCCGGUUCGAUUCCGGUCAAGGGCA